rnacentral:rRNA from 1 species
GAUGAACGCUGGCGGCGUGCCUAAUACAUGCCAGUCGAGCGAACAGACGAGGAGCUUGCUUCUCUGACGUUAGCGGCGGACGGGUGAGUAACACGUGGAUAACCUACCUAUAAGACUGGGAUAACUUCGGGAAACCGGAGCUAAUACCGGAUAAUAUAUUGAACCGCAUGGUUCAAUAGUGAAAGACGGUUUUGCUGUCACUUAUAGAUGGAUCCGCGCCGCAUUAGCUAGUUGGUAGGGUAACGGCUUACCAAGGCAACGAUGCGUAGCCGACCUGAGAGGGUGAUCGGCCACACUGGAACUGAGACACGGUCCAGACUCCUACGGGAGGCAGCAGUAGGGAAUCUUCCGCAAUGGGCGAAAGCCUGACGGAGCAACGCCGCGUGAGUGAUGAAGGUCUUCGGAUCGUAAAACUCUGUUAUUAGGGAAGAACAAAUGUGUAAGUAACUAUGCACGUCUUGACGGUACCUAAUCAGAAAGCCACGGCUAACUACGUG